rnacentral:rRNA from 1 species
AGUGAACGCUGGCGGUAGGCCUAACACAUGCAAGUCGAACGGCAGCACAGUAAUAGCUUGCUCUUACGGGUGGCGAGUGGCGGACGGGUGAGGAAUACAUCGGAAUCUACUUUUUCGUGGGGGAUAACGUAGGGAAACUUACGCUAAUACCGCAUACGACCUACGGGUGAAAGCAGGGGAUCUUCGGACCUUGCGCGAUUGAAUGAGCCGAUGUCGGAUUAGCUAGUUGGCGGGGUAAAGGCCCACCAAGGCGACGAUCCGUAGCUGGUCUGAGAGGAUGAUCAGCCACACUGGAACUGAGACACGGUCCAGACUCCUACGGGAGGCAGCAGUGGGGAAUAUUGGACAAUGGGCGCAAGCCUGAUCCAGCCAUACCGCGUGGGUGAAGAAGGCCUUCGGGUUGUAAAGCCCUUUUGUUGGGAAAGAAAAGCAGCAGGUUAAUACCCCGCUGUUCUGACGGUACCCAAAGAAUAAGCACCGGCUAACUUCGCG